AGCACCUUUGGGAACAACAUUUAAGGAAAUGUGAGCACAAUGCAAAGUGUCUUUAAAAGCAUGUUGUGAUGUACACGUUUUGUAAUUACCUUUUUUGUUGUUGAUAUAGCAACCGUUUGUAGAACAUUCCAGAUAACUCCCCGUUCUGAAGAAGCGGUCUAAUCCCUUUCUCACUUUUGAAAGGUAACAUCUCAGCUUAAUGCAUCUUGCCCUCUCCAUAGAGGAGGGAAGAAAGGUACGGGCUUGCCUUACUGAGAGCCAAACAGCCCAGAGAAAGAUUCCAUUACAGGAAACCUCAUUGCUCUAUAAAAAGUACCCGCCAAACCAGAAAGGUGAUUCCAGGAGGAGCUAGCCAGAAAAAAAAAAAAAGGGCUGUUCAGGUUUUCAGCUUUACGGUAUCUUUGCGCAACUUUAUUUUUAUUUUUUUCAUCAGAAGUGACCAAACGAGAUGGUGAGACCUCUGUCUGAGACCAAAUCCUUGUUCCAUCUCUACCCUGUUCCCAGCUGCUCACAGGAUCAUCUGCCCCUUAUGUUGAGGUGACCACUUAUUUGCUAUUCUGCCUCCUUGAAAGACAAAAAAGAAAAUCAGUUUUGCCACUAAUUUAGCCAUAUGAAACAUCUCAUCACCCUUUCUAGGUCUGAAGCUGCUAAAUCGGAAGGGCGUC